rnacentral:lncRNA from 1 species
GCCUAAUAAUUGUAACUCUUAAUUGUGCCAAUAAUAGUAGACAUAUUUGCUUUGGCUUCAGGGAAUUGAAGGAGCCUGACAUUUUCAAGAAUCUGUAUGUAUAUUCUGCAAUGCGACAUUAAGAUAUAAAACCUGUUUUGGAAAGGCUGCAGUAUAGAGGAAAACACUAUAUAAUCCUGGAGCUUGUUGGACUCAAUCCAAAGAAUUUUAGGCACUGAGAUCCAGGCCAAGGUCACCUUGCAGCCGGUUUGCUUUCUGGGGUGCAAUGACCGAACGUAAAACUUGUUGAUUGUGGGAAAGAAUCAACUUAUUGCUGAUCCAGCACAGACAUCUUAGUUGGUUUUAUUAACUAAUGUCGAGCAUGACAAUACUCUAUUUUCAAAUCAGAUUCUUGGACUUCUCUGGCUUCAGCCACUGGAAACUCCAAUUCUAAUAUUAGUGAAAAUAAAAUUCUGGUCAUAUGGCCAAAAGUGAACAGUACAUAGCCAAAGUGAAACAUUAUUUUGUAAUCACUUUUAGUUUGUCUAUUAUACUGUGUUUCUUUAUUGUCCUAGAGAAAAUUAAAUUGGUCAAUUCAGUGGAGAAAAAUCAUCAACACAAAGGUUUGAAAUGACCAGUUGUUUAACUAGAAAAAUGGAAAAGUCUCAAUUUGUAGACACCGUCUAAAUGUGGAAAAAUCAUUAAACACUAAAACUCGAGGCAAACUUUACAAGUUCUGUUUCUAAAUUAAAAUCACAAUUAAUAUUAUAAGUCAU